rnacentral:rRNA from 1 species
UACAGAGGGUGCAAGCGUUGUUCGGAAUUACUGGGCGUAAAGCGUGCGCAGGCGGUUUUGUAAGUCUGUCGUGAAAUCCCCGGGCUUAACCUGGGAAUUGCGAUGGAGACUGCAAGGCUGGAGUCUGGCAGAGGGGGGUAGAAUUCCACGUGUAGCAGUGAAAUGCGUAGAGAUGUGGAGGAACACCGAUGGCGAAGGCAGCCCCCUGGGUCAAGACUGACGCUCAUGCACGAAAGCGUGGGGAGCAAACAGG